AUUGGCGGUAGCGGAAGUAACGUGCAGCACGGACUGAGUUUGUGGUGACACAAGAGCAGAGAAGCAUGGCGCUCUGUGAGUUCUGCUGCAUCAUCCUACUGCUUUAAACUGGACUAAGUUUUAAAGAACACAUAAGUUGAGUUAAAUUAAACCCAAUUGUGGACUUACCGUGGAGAGGAGUAGCGGCUCGCGAGAAGAACGGACUUUCUCCCGUUUGGCUACAGCAGGCAAUGAGUUCUCACGAUGAUGAUGAUGAUGAUGACGACGACGAUGCUGAGUGAUCUUGUCGCCGAACAUUGAAUAAAUCAUCUGUAAACAAGAACUUGUCCGCGUGGUGCCUGACGGGAGCUACAAUCAUGAAUACAUAAUGGGCUUGGAUUUACAACAUUAUGAAUGAAAUGUGCUCUAUUUGGAAGCAGCAGGUCUCCCUCCCCUUUCGACGGGUGUCAGGCCUGAGUCAGGCCUGACAGAAGGACUGGAGGAGUUUGUGCAACCUCAGUCUCUUCCUGUGAGCAGUUUGCAUGUUCCCGUAUUUCCAGGUUCUCCAAAAGUUGAUUCUGUUCGUAUGGAACGGUACGUCCAGAUAAACAGAAUCAACUUUUUGAGUUUUACUUACCUGGAUGAUUGAGCAUGUGUCAAGAUUUUUCCGGGUUGUUCUCCGGGUAUUUUUCCAGUUGUCCAAAAACUUGCGCCAUGUAGUGCUUGUAUAACGUCCACAGAAAUAUCAGCUCUUACACUCCUUCUUUAAUUAGCAUUUCAUCCACAUGUAGUGACUGUAUUACUCAUGUCACAUGCAGCUGCAAUUCACAGAUGUUUCCUGAACACCUCAUAUGGAAGCAAAUAAGAGAUGUGAGAUGAACAAAAUACAAGAAAAACUCAUCCAAAUGACUUCAUGCUCAGUUAACGGCCUGUGAAGAACAAACACAUACAGUGGUUCAUUUCCUUCUUACUAGGAAAUAUGCAGAAUUAUAUUGUACAGCUGACACAACCUCAAUAUUAAAUACUGUUAUUUUAUAUUUUUUCACAUCCCAGUUAAAGGCUUUGGUUGAAUUUUCUCUUCACACAUUUUAAUAUCAAACUUAGUGUUUGUGUACACCUUGGACAUUAUAACCUGACCCUGAUCAGUGCUGCUGUGACGAUCACACUCACAUCCAUGUAAUCAUUUAACUGGGAUGAUCUGGGUUUACUGCACAAUGCUGAAUGUGUCCUUACAGUACAGGGAAUAACUCUCUGUGUGUUCCUGUAGAGAAACUCUGGGUUUGUGUGCUGACGAGCAUCACUCACAGUAAGAUACAAAGGCUCACUCUUAACUUUCCACACAUGUGACAAAUUCAAAAAGCUGCUGAAACGUUUAUAAAAUGAUAAACUACACAGUGUUGUAAUCCUUUAGGAUUGAACAGCUUUCAGAUUUAAUUAAUCUUAAAAUGUAAAAGUUGUUUUUAAGAGUUUUGCAUUUUGGAGAAUGUUUAAAUAAGUCAUACACAUGGGAAUUACAGUAACACUUUUUUCAUCAAACAGAGCAGAAAUGAACAGACACCAGCAUCUUUUUUCUCGGCUCUGUGUGCACAGCGAGCGACUCCUCUCUGCUAAAUCUGUGACAAAUAAAAGUGUUAAUGUGUUCUUUU